CCUCACAACCUGCCUCUCUCAUAUGGUCUCUCUCUCUCUCUCUCUCUCUCUCUCGCCCAUAAUUUUCUUCUCUCAUCCGCCUCUCUCUCUCUCUUCAUCUUUUCGUCGAUGCAGCAGUGUCGUGGUGCCACUGGCUCUACCGUCGAUCACUACCAAUCUACUGCUGUCACCGUCAUCUGAGCGAUCUACUCUCUCUCUCUGUCUCUCCGAUGGUGCCACCGCUACACAAAUCUGAUGUCACUGACAAUGAAAUCAACCGCAAGGUUUUCGUCGAUGACAUGGAGGUCACUAUGCCAGACCUCUAUAAAAAUCUCCAAAGUCACAAAUCUGGAUUCAGAUCUAGAUCUAGAUCUGUUGAGAAGUCGUCCAUCGUCCAUCACUUCAACAACAACAACAACAACAACAACAACAACAAAAUCACUAUAUGAAGGUUCCUAAGAUCGAACAUAAGAUUUAUUGGCUAGAGAUUGGUCAUCAACAACUUGCAUCUGAUGUCGACGACGACACGUGAGGGGAUGGCCGGAGCUGGAAAGAGAAACGCGGUGGUGGAACCACCAUGUCAUCAUUAAAUUCUUAGAUCUGAUUCACAGUUGCAUAUAUAUAUAUGUGUGUGUGUGUGUGUGUGAAUAGAUAUGUAUUUGCUUCAUUGGGUUUGUUUUAUAGAUCUAUGUAAAUCAAAACAAAAGCCAAAUUUGUGUAGAUUUAUUUUAUAUAUAUAUAUAUAUUGUUUUGGUAACAAA